CAGGGUGUAGCUCAGCUUGGUUAGAGCGCUAGCUUGGGGUGCUAGAGGUCGCGGGUUCAAAUCCCGCCACUCUGA
rnacentral:tRNA from 1 species